rnacentral:lncRNA from 1 species
AAAUUUCAAAAUGUUUGCAACAAAUGGUUUUUGAGGGUGAAGUGGUCAGGAACCAUGCAAGUGGUAACCUUGUAGAAGGCUUGGAAGUGGUCGGAUGCUGAAGAUGACCAGGAUUAAAAAUUAUUCUAGAUUUAUUGUUGCACCAUUGCUUUUCACAGCGCCUGCCCUGGUUGGGUUUCGGAGAAGCUGUACUGAAAUCCUCUAGCCCCCCAGAAUCAGAAAAAGGCUGUGGAAGUUUUGCGUCUGUGUUACCUGCCUGUGCUUGUAUUGUGGUGCAUUUGAAUGAUGUGGUAGCGUCUUUAUAUGCCCUUUGUCUUGGUGUUCUGUGAAGUUUACCUUUAGAAAGCGACCACUCGAUUUUAGCUCUCGACCUGUAGCCUUUCGUGAUACCAACGUAACAAAUCCUAGGCCCAGACCAUCGAAUACAACCAAAUAAAUCCAUCGAUCACAACCAAAUCAAUUGCCCGUUAAUGGCCGUCGUGCGUAUCUUUCUCUAAACGACUUGUAUUUCUGUAGUGGCAGUUUUGAAAUUGUAGACGAAAGAAAGAACUGUGGCAUGUGUGCUACUCUUGAGCCCGCACUGAGACGCAAUGAUGCUGCGUGCUGAAAGAUACCCGUCACAUGCGUGGAUUGUUGAUGGUCUGGGCCAGCUUGGAUUGAUGGUUGACAGGCUGACGACCAAAAAUAUCAGCGUGCAUUAUUGCACCUACCAGCAAGUCUCUUCCUUCUUUCCAUCACCUGUUGCCUCUUCUCAGAUCUCCCUGUGGUUGCGCCUGCGAGGAAGUGGAAGGAAGCCCUGCGAGCAAGGAAACAUGGCAGAGUCGCUGCUGCUCCCCGUGGUGCGCGGCGUCGUCGGCAAGGCGGCUGACGCUCUCGUGCAGAGCAUCACUCGCGUGUGGGGCGUCGACAAGGACCGCCUCAAGCUCGAGCGCCACCUGGAGUACGUGCAGUCCUUGCUGGCCGACGCCGAGGCGAAGAGCGAGACCAACCACGCCGUCCGGACGUGGAUGAAGGAGCUCAAGGCCGCCGCGUACCAGGCCGACGACGUCCUCGACGACUUCCAGUACGAGGCGCUGCGCCGUGAGGCAAUGAGCGACCAGUCCGUGGCAAGCAAGGUACUGAGCAACUUCACCUCAAAGAAUCGUCUUGUAUUUCGUUGUAAAGCGAGCAGAGACCUGAAGAACGUGCUCAAAAAGAUUGACGCGCUCGUGACGGAGAUGGCAAAGUUUGGCCUGGUGACGCUUGCGGAGGAGCCGCCGCAAGCUCUUCCUCGGCAGACGCACUCAGCACUGGAUGAAUCCAUGGAGAUAUUUGGCAGAGAAGAUAACAAAGAUGGGGUGGUGGAACUGUUGCUGGACCAGCAAGAUCAGCAGCAUGUACAAGUGCUGCCCAUCUUUGGAAUGGGGGGUGUGGGUAAGACCACGCUAGCCAAGAUGGUGUACAACAACGACAAAAUUCAGAAGCACUUUGAAUUGAGGAUGUGGCACUGCGUGUCAGAAAAUUUUGAAGCUAUUCCUCUUGUUAGAUCUGUAAUUGAGUUGGCUACAAAUAGCACAUGUGGUCUGCCUGACACGAUCGAGCUUCUGCGAGGAAAACUGCAGGAAGCUAUUGGCCGCAAAAGGUUCCUACUCAUUCUCGACGAUGUGUGGAACGAAGACCAAAACAAGUGGGAGGAUGACUUGAGGCCGCUACUCUGUUCUUCAAUUGGUGGAUCAGGAAGCACAAUAGUUGUUACAAGUAGAAGCCGACAAGUGGCGUCAAUAAUGGGCACCCUUCCACCUCAUGAAUUAGUGUGUUUGAGUGAAGAUGAUUCAUGGGAAUUGUUCUCAAAGAAAGCAUUUAGUAAAGGAGUGCAAGAACAAGCAGAGUUUGUCAAAAUUGGCAGAUGUAUCAGCAAGAAGUGCAAGGGACUGCCUCUUGCACUGAAGACAAUGGGUGGAUUGAUGAGUUCAAAACAACAAAUCCAGGAAUGGGAGGCCAUUGCAGAUUGCAAUAUUAGUGAUACCAAUAGAGGUAAAGAUGAGGUAUUGCCCAUACUAAAACUGAGCUACAAGCACUUGUCCCCUGAGAUGAAGCAAUGCUUUGCCUUCUGUUCAGUUUUCCCCAAGGACUAUAAGAUGGAGAAGGACAUGUUGAUUCAACUAUGGAUGGCAAACGGUUAUCUUCAUGAAGAGGGGACGAUGGACUUGACACAAAAAGGGGAAUAUGUCUUCAACGAGUUGGCUUGGAGGUCCUUUUUUCAAGAUGUGAUAUUAGUGAAGGGGCCCUAUUGGCCUUAUGGUAAAUAUACCUCAAAACAUGAGAUAAAUGGAUGUAAAAUGCACGACUUGAUGCAUGACCUUGCAAAAGAUGUUGCAAAUGAAUGUGCAAAUUCGGAAGAGUUAAUUCAGCAAAACCUGCCUGUAAAUGACAUCCGUCACUUGCAUAUUUUGAGAUAUGACCAAUUGGACAAAAUCAGCCAGUUACUCGGAGGCACUAUGUAUCUUCGCACUUUGUUGACGCCACCGUCAUCGUACAAGAAUCUGGUGAAGUCAAAACUGAUGUCAUCAAGAGCAUUGCAUUUUUAUUGUGGAAGAACUUCAACCGUCCAUAUGGAGCUCAUCACACGCAUAGCACAUUUGCGGUAUCUUGAUCUCUCUGGCUCGAAGAUUGUUAGCUUGCCAAACUCAAUCGAUAUGUUGUAUAACUUACUGUCUUUGAGGCUUAAUGGCUGCCGCCGACUACAAUAUUUACCUGAGGGUAUGAGAACUAUGAGGAAGCUCUGCCAUAUUUAUCUCUUGGGGUGUUAUAGAUUGGAACGAAUGCCCCCAAAACUUAGUGUACUACACAACCUUCGCACACUAACAGCAUUUGUUGUGGGCACAAAAGAUGGAUGUGGAAUCGAGGAGCUCGAAGACCUACGACAGAUUGGCAACAGGUUGGAACUGUAUAAUUUGCGGGAAGUAAAGUGUGGGUCGAAGGCCAAUCUCCAUGAGAAACAUAAUCUUAAUGAACUGUUGUUGUAUUGGAAUCAUUGUCGUGAUGAAUAUUACAGGUCUACAAUUGGUGAGGCCACCAAUCAUGAACAAGCAUUGGAAUCUCUUGUACCUCAUGAUAAGCUAAAAAUUUUGGAGGUGCGUAGUUAUGGUGGCCUCACAAUCUCGCAAUGGAUGAGAAACCCUCAAAUGUUCCGGUGCUUGAGAGAACUCAUUAUGGUCGGAUGUCCAUGGUGUAAGGAUCUGCCAAUAGUAUGGAUGUCAUCCUCUCUUGAGCAUUUGUGUUUAUGGCGCAUGGAAAGCUUGACCACGUUGUGUAACAGCAUCGACGCGGAAGCUGAAGCAGACAAUACCUCUUUGCAAAUAUUCCCCAAGCUAAAGAUGAUGGAAUUAAUUGAUUUGCCUGAGUUGGACAGAUGGGCAGAAAAUAGUGCUGAAGAGAUUCUUAGCUCGGUGACGUUUCCUCGGCUUGAAAAACUAGAAAUUGAGAAUUGCGAUAAGCUGGCAAGUCUCCCAAAGUUACCGGUUCUCACAUAUCUACGUCUAUCUGGUCGCGAAGGGAAUAAUUCUACAGGAGCUCUUAUUUCGAUGCGCAUGCCUUUGGGCUCUUUGCCAUCUCUUAUCCACUUAAAAAUAUCAUUUUUGCUGGUAGAUUUGGUGAUGCCUCCAGACGGCAAGGAAAGCCAGAGUCAAAGACAUUUGGACACACUACGAUCUUUGAAGCUUGAGGGUGACGACGCCUUCAUAUCGAUAUUUAAUAAAUCCAAAUUGCAACUUGGGCUUAGGGAAUGGUUGGUCUCUGUGGAAGAAUUGAAUAUCAACAAAUGCCACAAUAUUGUCCGCUGGCCCGUGGAGGAACUCCGUUGUUUUCCUCGCCUUCGAUCUCUGCACAUUUGGGAUUGCUCCAAACUUGAGGGGAAGGGCUCGUCAUCUGAGGAAGACGGGAUCCUUCCUCUGCUCCCCAAGUUUCCCGCAUCCCUCGAGGAAAUCUGGAUUGAGAGGAACAGAAGUUUGGUGGCGCUGCCUUCAAACCUCGGAGAUCUGACCAAGCUGAGGAGACUCACUGUGCAGCGUUGCGAUGCACUGAAAGCGUUGCCAGAUGGGAUGGAUGGUCUCACUUCCCUUGAGGAGUUGACUAUUGGAUUCUGUCCAGGGAUAGAGAAAUUUCCGCAGGGUCUCCUGCAGCAGCUCCCAGCCCUCAAAUACCUAUGCAUAGAUGGCUGCCCUGACCUGAAGAGGCGUUGCGGAGAAGGUGGGGAGUACUUCGACUUGAUCGCUUCUGGGUUGUUUGUUUCUUGUGUCACAUAGAAUCGAUGGUUUAGAUACUAAUUAGGAGUAUUAAAUAUAGAUUAAUUAUAAAACCAAUUGCACAGAUGGAGACUAAUUGGCGAGAUGAAUCUAUUAAGCCUAAUUAGUUCAUGAUUUGACAAUGUGAUGCUACAGUAAACAUGUGCUAAUGAUGGAUUAAUUAGGCUUAAUAGAUUCGCCUCGUGAAUUAGCCUCCAUCUGUGUAAUUAGUUUUAUAAUUAACUCAUAUUUAAUCCUCCUAAUUAGCCUCCAAAUAUUCGAUGUGACAUAAAUUUUAGGAGAUCCUAAAGAUCCAAACACCCCUAACUGAGGCAUGCAUUGAAGCAACAGGGGAGGUAUGGUCCAUUCCUGAUGUGUUGUGAUGUCAAAUCCUAUACUAGUCUUUCAAAUGCUAACUAGGUGUAUAUUUCUCUUGUAUUGCAGGUCGACUAGAAUAAUGUUGUGAUCAUGCAGUUAGAUCAGUUUAACAUCAUUCAGGGGGUCAGUGAUGUAACAAUUUUAGGCAAAGUAAGAAACACCCAAGACAAUGGCUUCUCAGAUGAAGUUCGAACUGGGCAGCCAUCUAUGCACACAGCUGCUGUGAAUGGCGUAAGACAUGACAAAGGUGCAAGCAAUAUCAGACAUGGUUAUGGAGGAAAGCAACAGGGGAGGUAUGGUCCAUUCCUGAUGUGAUGUGAUGUCAAAUCCUAGACUAGUCUUUCAAAUGCUAACUAGGUGUAAAUUUCUCUUGUAUUGCAGAUCGACUGGGACGGCAUACAAUUUCAGAAGAUGAAGUGCUUUCGCUGGGUAUGUGAAAUACGUUCUUUUAACGGUCAUGUGGUCCCUUUGUGGUCCAAAUUUACUCAGCCUUUUCUUGUCCACUAGCCCGUAAGUUUUUUUGUCCUUAGCUUUAUCCUUGCUAUAGGGUCUUCAAUUAGAAUCAGCUAAAAUAUAGUAUGGCAUCAGAGUACUUGGUAUUGUUUUUGAAAAUUCGAUUGUAUAACAAAUUUCAAAAUGUUUGCAACAAAUGGUUUUUGAGGGUGAAGUGGUCAGGAACCAUGCAAGUGGUAACCUUGUAGAAGGCUUGGAAGUGGUCGGAUGCUGAAGAUGACCAGGAUUAAAAAUUAUUCUAGAUUUAUUGUUGCACCAUUGCUUUUCACAGCGCCUGCCCUGGUUGGGUUUCGGAGAAGCUGUACUGAAAUCCUCUAGCCCCCCAGAAUCAGAAAAAGGCUGUGGAAGUUUUGCGUCUGUG